UCGGUAAUUCCAGCUCCRAUAGCGUAUAUUAAAGUUGUUGCAGUUAAAAAGCUCGUAGUUGGAUUUGUGGAUGGGCAGUCUGGUUCGCCCUUUUGGGCGGUACUUGGGCAGCUCGUCCAUCCUUGGGUGGAAUCUGUGUGGCAUUAGGUUGUCGUGCAGGGGAUGCCCAUCUUUUACUGUGAAAAAAUUAGAGUGUUCAAAGCAGGCUUAUGCCGUUGAAUAUAUUAGCAUGGAAUAAUGAGAUAGGACCUUGGUACUAUUUUGUUGGUUUGCGCACCGAGGUAAUGAUUAAUAGGGACAGUUGGGGGUAUUCGUAUUCCAUUGUCAGAGGUGAAAUUCUUGGAUUUUUGGAAGACGAACUACUGCGAAAGCAUUUACCAAGGAUGUUUUCAUUAAUCAAGAACGAAAGUUAGGGGAUCGAAGAUGAUUAGAUACCAUCGUAGUCUUAACCAUAAACUAUGCCGACAAGGGAUUGGCGGUCGUUGUAUUGACUCCGUCAGCACCUUAUGAGAAAUCACAAGUCUUUGGGUUCCGGGGGGAGUAUGGUCGCAAGGCUGAAACUUAAAGAAAUUGACGGA
rnacentral:rRNA from 1 species